GUUGGGGACAGGGCAUGAACUCAUUGUAAAGGUCAACAGAACAGUGGUCUCCUGAUGGAGUUGGGGACAGGG